AACAAGGCGUACCUGCGGACCUGCGGAAGGAUCAUUACCGAGUGUGAACCCCCCCGUAAAAAAGAGGGGUUACCCCCCGUCCUUUGCUGGGAACCCCUUUCCAACUUGGAAGGAGGUUGUUUUCAGACCCUUCUGCUUCGGUGGGGUAACCCACCGGAACAACCUCAAAAAUAUUCUCAAUUCAAAACCGUUCAGUCCGAGAACUUUUUUGAAAAGCGAAAAAACUUUCAACAACGGAUC
rnacentral:misc_RNA from 1 species